rnacentral:rRNA from 1 species
GGAGGAAAAGAAACCAACAGGGAUUGCCCUAGUAACGGCGAGUGAAGCGGCAACAGCUCAAAUUUGAAAUCUGGCGCAAGCCCGAGUUGUAAUUUGUAGAGGAUGCUUCAGGGCAGCGGCCGGUCUAAGUUCCUUGGAACAGGACGUCAUAGAGGGUGAGAAUCCCGUAUGCGACCGGUUGGCACCCGUCACGUAGCUCCUUCGACGAGUCGAGUUGUUUGGGAAUGCAGCUCUAAAUGGGAGGUAAAUUUCUUCUAAAGCUAAAUACCGGCCAGAGACCGAUAGCGCACAAGUAGAGUGAUCGAAAGAUGAAAAGCACUUUGGAAAGAGAGUUAAAAAGCACGUGAAAUUGUUGAAAGGGAAGCGCAUGCAACCAGACUUGUCGGCGGUGUUCCGCCGGUCUUCUGACCGGUCUAUUCGCCGCCGGCAGGCCAGCAUCAUCUGGGCGCGCCGGAUAAAGGCGUGGGGAAUGUAGCUCCUCGGAGUGUUAUAGCCCUGCGCACAAUACGGCGCCGCCCGGGUGAGGUCCGCGCUUCGGCUAGGAUGCUGGCGUAAUGGUUGUCUGCGGCCCGUCUUGAAACACGGACCAAGGAGUCUAACAUCUAUGCGAGUGUUCGGGUGUCAAACCCCUACGCGUAAUGAAAGUGAACGGAGGUGGGAAGCGCAAGCUGCACCAUCGACCGAUCCUGAUGUCUUCGGAUGGAUUUGAGUAAGAGCAUAGCUGUUGGGACCCGAAAGAUGGUGAACUAUGCCUGAAUAGGGUGAAGCCAGAGGAAACUCUGGUGGAGGCUCGCAGCGGUUCUGACGUGCAAAUCGAUCGUCAAAUUUGGGUAUAGGGGCGAAAGACUAAUCGA